ensembl:rRNA 5S_rRNA 5S ribosomal RNA
CUAUGGCCAUUCCACUCUGAACACACCCCAUCUCCUCUGAUCUUGGAAGCUAAGCAGGGUCGGGCCUGAUUAGUUUAGGAGUCAGGCAGUAGCACAGU